rnacentral:rRNA from 1 species
AGGGUUCGAUUCCGGAGAGGGAGCCUGAGAAACGGCUACCACAUCCAAGGAAGGCAGCAGGCGCGCAAAUUACCCAAUCCCGAUACGGGGAGGUAGUGACAAUAAAUAACAAUACAGGGCUCUUAUGGGUCUUGUAAUUGGAAUGAGUACAAUUUAAAUCCCUUAACGAGGAACAAUUGGAGGGCAAGUCUGGUGCCAGCAGCCGCGGUAAUUCCAGCUCCAAUAGCGUAUAUUAAAGUUGUUGCAGUUAAAAAGCUCGUAGUUGAAUUUCGGGGUUCUACCGUUGGUCGGGCAAUAGUCUGUACUGGCGUGUGGAAUUUCUACCUUCUGGGGAACCAUCAUGUUAUUUAUUUAGCGUGGUGGGAAACCAGGACCUUUACCUUGAAAAAAUUAGAGUGUUCAAAGCAGGCUUACGUCUGAAUACAUUAGCAUGGAAUAAUAAAAUAGGACGGUGGUCCUGUUUUGUUGGUUUCUGAAUCACCGUAAUGAUUAAUAGGGAUAGUUGGGGGCAUUAGUAUUCAAUUGUCAGAGGUGAAAUUCUUGGAUUUAUUGAAGACUAACUUCUGCGAAAGCAUUUGCCAAGGAUGUUUUCAUUAAUCAAGAACGAAAGUUAGGGGAUCGAAGACGAUCAGAUACCGUCGUAGUCUUAACCAUAAACUAUGCCGACUAGGGAUCGGACGAU